rnacentral:tRNA from 3 species
AUUUAUAUAGUUUAGAAGAAUAAACAUUACACUUUCACUGUAAAGACAAAGGAACCCUUUUAUAAAUA